UGAUGUCACGAGGCCCCGCCCCUGCGAGGCAUUGUGGAAAACCAGCCUAGCAACGCGGGCGGGGCGAGCUGUGACAGUCUGCGCGUUGGUACCGAAUGCCCCCACCCGAUGUCCAAGCUUCAGACUCUUUCUCUCUGUAAUGAAAAAGAGUGUCUUGUGGAGAGAUUUUUUGAGACUCUAUAAUUAGUUCCUGUUGCCUGUAAUCGAGAAAUCCUACUGACCCCUUCAAUCAAGAUGACUUCAGGCAAGACAAAUUUAUUACAGGGAUACAGAAGUGUCUCAUGAAACUCAUUUCAGAUAGGCCUUCCCU
rnacentral:lncRNA from 1 species